UACGUAGGGAGCAAGCGUUGUCCGGAAUCAUUGGGCGUAAAGCGCGCGUAGGUGGCUUCGUAAGUCCGUUGUGAAAGUCAAAGGCUCAACCUUUGAAAGCCGAUGGAUACUGUGAAGCUAGAGUACGGAAGAGGCGAGUGGAAUUCCUGGUGUAGCGGUGGAAUGCGCAGAUAUCAGGAGGAACACCAAUAGCGAAGGCAGCUCGCUGGGACGUUACUGACACUGAGGCGCGAAAGCGUGGGGGAGCAAACAGG
rnacentral:rRNA from 1 species